CAGCCCGGUCUGUUGGGCCAACGUUUAAGGUGUAUAAAAAUCACAUUGGCUUAUAAAACACAUCUAUACCACACCUGUAAUAUUUAUCACACUCUAAUCCCAAGAUAGCGAUAACAUAUCUCCAGCUCUUGCAACGUUCAAAACAACAAUCGAAGUGGUUACCGUCACUCUGAUACACAACGCUUAAUUAUAUUAAUUUUUGUCCUAAAAUAUUUGGAGAGAAAGUUUCAAAGAUUUAAUUGCAAUGGCGCCCCGAGAAGAGAUCAUAUCACCGCCACCAGAGCGCGCCCCCGUACAAUCGCCUCCCCGCCCUCCGGCCCCUGGACGUCCUACAGCGCCCCCACACGACCACCCCGCCGUCUACAUACGACCAGCAGCUGUCAGGCCUAACGUCGCUGUCCGACGCUAGGUGGCGCUGUUAUCCAAAAUUUAAGCGCUUCACGUUUUAAAAUUUAACGGCUAGCAACAUCGGCUUGACAUGAACACUAUUGCAAUAUUGUUUUUUAAAAAUCAUAUUACUAAUUUAGUCUCUAAGGUACCUGUUUUAUUAAUUUAAGUCUAGAUACUCUAUAUUGUAGGUGUCUGAAAUAAAUGUUUUUCAUUCUU